rnacentral:rRNA from 1 species
UACGGAGGGAGCUAGCGUUGUUCGGAAUUACUGGGCGCAAAGCGCACGUAGGCGGCUUUGUAAGUUAGAGGUGAAAGCCCAGGGCUUAACCCUGGAAUUGCCUUUAAAACUGCAUCGCUAGAAUUGUGGAGAGGUAAGUGGAAUUCCGAGUGUAGAGGUGAAAUUCGUAGAUAUUCGGAAGAACACCAGUGGCGAAGGCGACUUACUGGACACAUAUUGACGCUGAGGUGCGAAAGCGUGGGGAGCAAACAGG